rnacentral:rRNA from 1 species
AUGUCGACCGUGCCGCCGGAGUUCAACCUUUCGGCCGGCAGCACCAGGCUCAAGAUUAUAUUUGAAGGCGUGUACACGGAGAGGGCGAGCGAUGGGGAUGGCGACGGCGAGCGAGUGCUGUGCAUGGUCGGCAGCGCUGUCCUGCCCAAGCGCAGCGCUGAAGUCAUUGACCCGUGGGACUGGGCCAAGAACUCCGGCCGGAGCAGCUUCCGGUCGCCUAUAACGGCCGACAACAACAUACUACUGCUCAUGCUACGGUACCCGAAGAAGCUAACACUGACAACCCGAGCAGUGGUCGGCACGAUGCGGAGCACGAGCGGCCCAUCGGACGCGUCCUACUUUGACACCGUGCAGAUCGUGUCAGGGCUCAUCUCCUACAACAUGUACCAUUACCAGCCCCAAGAGCUCGCCGCUGGCUCAGGCCACGCGCUCCCUUCGAGCGGCGUUGAUGAUGGCGUGUCCAGCCGUACAAGGGAUGUGUACAACGGAAGUUAUCCAUGCCUAGUCCUUAACCGCUAUGCUUAUGGACAAGUCAGCACCGUGCUCCCCGGAUGGCAAUGCAACUCCACGGUCGCGACAGGCGGGUCGUGCCACGGCGUCGGGCCGUUCGAAAUGGACCAAGCAGCAGACGCGGACGCGUUCGCUGGGGUUGGCAUCAUAAUGCAGGACCUCCAGUGCCAGGAGCAGUACGACAUGGCCGGCCCGACCGGCAUCGCGAUGGUGGUGUCGGUCGUAUUCCGCUCCCUGUCUCCAUGGGAGGACUGGAGCACGGUGAGAUCGCGCUCCGGGCUUAGCGGGAAGACACUGUCGGCCGAGGGAGCGUGGAACACAUCGACGGGGCAGGCCUGCAUGGUGGCAUGCCGCGGCAUCGCGGGCAAGAAGGCGUGCAACUUCCGGGUGUGCCUCUUCUUCCCGACGACGAUGUCGAUUACCCGCCUUGACACCAUGCUGGGACAGAUAACCGGCGUGGACGGAGCAGCCGGCGGAGUGGCACACCGGCCCCUCCUGUCGUUCCGGCAGCACAUGAGCCCGCCACGCCUCUGGGGCUACUAUCCCGACGAUGGCAUACCGCUGGUGUCAUACAAGUACAACUACACGAAGGUCAAUCAGGCCGGCGGGCUGCGCGAGAGGAGCGAAUUGCCAUCGGACUUCCGCAGGAUCGUUGCCAAGUCUCUGUCCCUGAGCUACCCCAAGAGAGAUGGCACUGGCAAUGACAGGAGGAGCCUGUCCAGCCUCGCCGACAGGCUCACUCUCUGGUUCAUGGCCAUGCCAGACCUGUUCCGACAGGAAUGGAUUGAGCAUCCGAUCCUUCACUUGGAGGUCUUCUCCCUCGAGCAGGUCAUCGACCGCUAUUCACCCCGGCAACACGGAGAUGGCAUACCAACAAAAGAGCCUGGAACGAAGGGGCGCAUACUACUCAAUGUUUCGGCCGAGCUCACCAUUUUUAAGGAUCGUUGGCCUAAAAAAUCAGUGAUGUCUCUUGAAGGCGUGUACAAUCCAGACGACGGCCGGAUGCACCUGAUCGGCUGCCGAAAUAUCCGGCUCGCGCGGCAAAACUUGUCCACGAGCAGAGACCUCGGACUCGAAGAAGGGAUGGACUGUUCCAUCGAGGUGAAAGUGGAGUACCCGGCGACCACCAUGGACGGCGAAGGUGCAGAUAGCGAGCACGAGGACGGCCGUCGACCCGCUGCAUUUAAGCUCAGGGCUAUGCCCUCAUACCCGCAGCAGUGGCCCAGCGGGUUCUACUGA